CUAACUUCACGUGCGUAAAUAUAAUAAUAAUAAUUCGCGGGUUGUACGCGAUGCAAAAAUAAAAUAGGAAGUAAAUGCGACAUUUAUCUAGAAAUUUGUUAUUAUAAUUAUCUAUAAUGAAAUGUAAGUAUAUAAAAAUUGUAAUUCAUUAUUCGCAUAUACUCAAAGACUUAUGAGAGAGAGAAAAAUAUUCGAUAUCAAAAUAUAGAAAGGACUGAAUUGAAAUGCCGUGUCGAAAUCUCGUUUGUUACGAGAAAACAAUUGCUUUGGAAUUACUCCAAAUUGUAGGUUGACGUGUCUAUGACCUCGAUGAGAAAAAUGUCAUUCUGUCACUUGACGUGUACUGUACGCCUAACACGGAGCUAUAAAUUUACAUGCGCAGUUUGUUGAAUUUUCAUUUUCCUAAAGAAAAAUUAUUUUGAAAAAACAUUUCGCAUGGCGACGAGAACGUGAUUAUUUAUCUUCCUGUCCUGAGAAUUCAAAGAAGGUUUACGCAGAUUAGAUUUGCUCGCAGGAUGCCGACGAAUCUCCGUGAAUCUUCGAAUGUCCGGUAACCGUAUUACUUGGAUCGAUAAGCUACUUGCGGUCGAUUUAUCAACAGAAGACAGCAGUAAUAAGUAGCAAGAAAGAUCGACGUAUCUGCGAAUAUAUAUCAAUAAACAGUGGCUCGUACGAUAAUCACUUUGCAGUGAUGUAACUAACGUUCCAGUCUUUUUCUCGUGGAAAAAAAUGAGAUGAUGACACUUUUUAGAUUUUUAUUAUUUUAUCUCUCCUACCUUGCAAAAAUCUGCAAAACUUUGUAAUAAUCGCAAUAUAAUAUAUCAAAGCUAUUGUCUCACAAUAACAAACUGUACAUAUAUAUCAAGAAAAUAAGAUAAGAAUUGUGUAAGACUGUAAUUGUGUAAUAUUAGGCAUUAAUUUAUAAAUUAAUAGAACUUUAUUUAUAAAACAAU